rnacentral:rRNA from 1 species
UACGUAGGGUGCAAGCGUUAAUCGGAAUUACUGGGCGUAAAGCGUGCGCAGGCGGUUCUAUAAGACAGAUGUGAAAUCCCCGGGCUCAACCUGGGAACUGCAUUUGUGACUGUAGAGCUGGAGUACGGUAAAGGGGGAUGGAAUUCCGCGUGUAGCAGUGAAAUGCGUAGAUAUGCGGAGGAACACCGAUGGCGAAGGCAAUCCCCUGGACCUGUACUGACGCUCAUGCACGAAAGCGUGGGGAGCAAACAGG